GGGGAUUUAGCUCAUUGGUAGAGCGCUUGCCUAGGAAGCGCAAGGCCUUGGGUUCAGUCCCCA
rnacentral:tRNA from 1 species